rnacentral:rRNA from 1 species
CGCGUAGGCGGCUUAUCAAGUCAGGCGUGAAAGCCCCGGGCUUAACCUGGGAACUGCGCUUGAGACUGGUAGGCUUGAGUACCGGAGAGGUGGGUGGAAUUCCCAGUGUAGAGGUGAAAUUCGUAGAUAUUGGGAAGAACACCGGUGGCGAAGGCGGCCCACUGGACGGUUACUGACGCUGAGGCGCGAAAGCGUGGGGAGCAAACA